CCCCACCACCCGUGCGGCGCCCCUGGAUCUUCAGUCCACAACGCCGCUACUGUGGCCGGGGAGUAGAUGCAGUUAAAGAAAAGGCCUAGGAAGAGAAGUAGAAGGAAGCAGUGUGCAGACGUCCGGGUUCGAGUGGCUGGACGGUGCGUGGGGGCAACAAGUAGCUUGCACAGCGGGAGGAGAAAGGCCCAAGGCCCAAACUCGAGGGAAGCGUGAGGCAGACUGAACCGGUUACAUGCAGCAGUGGAGCAUGAUAAUUUGGGGAAACACAGAUCCCUUCAUUCUGGAUUGAAGCUGAAAUGAAAGACAUGGUUAAUAUUACUUGGUGAUCAGAGGUGGCAUCCAGAGAAGACCCUCACCCCCACCCCAGGGCUCCCGGGGCUGGUGAGCAAAUAGGUGCGGUACCCACGGAAAUGUUGCAGCUCACUGCUUUCUCGCCUUCUCUGGGGUUGGAGGAAAGGAGGUGCCCUUGCAGAAAGGAAGAUACAGACUUCCAAUGAAAAGUGCCUGAGAGUUUCUUCCUUCUAACCUUCCCUGUUAUUCCAGUGUGGCUUAAGUGACUUCCAACUGCUAUGCACUUUCCCUCCGACGUUAAGACAUGACAACCAGGAAAGGUUCUUCUUGGAGCUGAGUGGAAAAAAAACACUAAAUAUAAAGAACUUUACUAUUGAUCAAUCAUGCUCUCAAGGAAAGAUCGAAAGGGUGAAAUGUGAGAAAUAAUAACUGGGAAACCUCACUAAAAUGGAGCCCGGAGGUUUCUGCAGGGGGACCUCUCACGCCCUACCACACAAAGUUAACUGUAGACCCAAUAGGAAGAGAUGGACUUGACCUUAUGUGGACUUGACCUUGCAUGUAGAUACACUCUACUACUCCAGCCAAAGGGAGAGAUUUUUUCCUCAUCCCCAGGCAACAGGUUAGCCAAUGAGAACCCCCCAUACUUGGAACACCCAGUUUUCUCCAAUGGACUUUUAGUUUAUAACAGCCUUCCCCAGUUAUGCCUUUUCUCCUUAAAAGAGUCUACCUCUCUCCAUCAUUCCCCAGACUUGCCUAUGGUUUUGCCUCAGCUUGUUUGUCCCAGAUUGUUAUUCUCUUUUAUUCCUGAAUAAAGCCAUUUUUGCUGGUAAAAUAAA